rnacentral:rRNA from 1 species
GACGAACGCUGGCGGCGUGCCUAAUACAUGCAAGUAGGACGCAGUUGCGAACGGGAGAGUAACGCGUAGGUAACUACCUAUUAGUGGGGGAUAACUAUUGGAAACGAUAGCUAAUACCGCAUACUAGUAGAUGGAGCUGCGUUGUAUUAGCUAGUAGGUAGGGUAAUGGCCUACCUAGCCAACGAUACAUAGCCGACCUGGGAGGGUGAACGGCCACACUGGGACUGGGACACGGCCCAGACUCCUACGGGAGGGAGCAGUAGGGAAUCUUCGUACAAGGGGGGAACCCUGACCGCGGCAAGCCGCGGGAGUGAAGAAGGUUUUCGGGUCGGAAAGCUCUGUUGUUAAGGAAGCGGUACGUAACCAGAAAGGGACGGCUAACUACGUGCCAGCAGCCGCGGUAAUAC